rnacentral:lncRNA from 1 species
AGUUUUAGUUUUUAUUGAUUUUGCUGUUAUAUAUUUAUUAAACAAUGGAAUCCUUGAGACGUUUUAUCAUCUUAUAUUUACUUAUCAUUUUCGCAGAAUAAAUGUACUUCGUGUUUCACACUCUGGACAUGCUGGCUGAGCUGCUCCAAGUCUUUCAGGGAGCACGGCCUUUCAGGGGACACGCCGCCUGUGCAGCCCACGCUUAUCCCAGACACUCUCAGACAACUGCUCCUAAGAGGCACAUUCACCUAGAAAAGUGCACCAAAAAGGAAAAAAAUAGAACAGCGUAUUUUUUUCAGUGUUAUCACCUAAAUUUUCUCUGCCC